rnacentral:rRNA from 1 species
GAUGAACGCUGGCGGCGUGCCUAAUACAUGCAAGUCGAGCGAACAGACGAGGAGCUUGCUCCUUUGACGUUAGCGGCGGACGGGUGAGUAACACGUGGGUAACCUACCUAUAAGACUGGGAUAACUUCGGGAAACCGGAGCUAAUACCGGAUAAUAUUUCGAACCGCAUGGUUCGAUAGUGAAAGAUGGCUUUGCUAUCACUUAUAGAUGGACCUGCGCCGUAUUAGCUAGUUGGUAAGGUAACGGCUUACCAAGGCAACGAUACGUAGCCGACCUGAGAGGGUGAUCGGCCACACUGGAACUGAGACACGGUCAAGACUCCUACGGGAGGCAGCAGUAGGGAAUCUUCCGCGAUGGGCGAAAGCCUGACGGAGCAACGCCGCGUGAGUGAUGAAGGUCUUCGGAUCGUAAAACUCUGUUAUUAGGGAAGAACAAACGUGUAAGUAACUGUGCACGUCUUGACGGUACCUAAUCAGAAAGCCACGGCUAACUACGUG